rnacentral:rRNA from 1 species
AGUAGCCGCGGUAAUUCCAGCUCCAAUAGCGUAUAUUAAAGUUGUUGCAGUUAAAAAGCUCGUAGUUGAAUUUCGGGGUUAGUAGGUUGGUCAUGCCUCUGGUAUGUACUGGUCUCACUGAUUCCUCCUUCCUGAUGAACCUUAAUGCCAUUAAUUUGGUGUUUUGGGGAAUUUGGACUGUUACUUUGAAAAAAUUAGAGUGUUUAAAGCAAGCUAACGCUUGAAUACAUUAGCAUGGAAUAAUGAAAUAGGACGUUCGAUCCUAUUUUGUUGGUUUCUAGGAUUGACGUAAUGAUUAAUAGGGAUAGUUGGGGGCAUUAGUAUUCAAUUGUCAGAGGUGAAAUUCUUGGAUUUAUUGAAGACUAACUACUGCGAAAGCAUUUGCCAAGGAUGUUUUCAUUAAUCAAGAACGAAAGUUAGGGGAUCGAAGACGAUCAGAUACCGUCGUAGUCUUAACCAUAAACUAUGCCGACUAGGGAUCGGAUGAUGUUAAUUUUUUAAUGACUCA